AUGUACAAGUUUUGGAUAGUAUACGGAAGUAUAAACACCCCUGUGUUGUUUGUUUUGCAGUCUGUGUCCCUGUUGAGAAGAUUCACCUCACUUUCUGUCCCUAUCUAUAUAAAUAAAAAUGUAAUGUUAGUUUGUGGGAUUAACAUAACUGAAAAACCACUGGACGAAUUGACACAAAAUUUGGACACUACACCCUUAACAGACCAGUGAGUGAUCAACACUCAUACCUCAUCCCCAAAUAGCGGAAAGAACUUAAAAAUCAAAAAGCUAAAUGACAAUACAGUUCAUAUUUACAUUUUCCUAUUCCUGGACUGGAAUUCUCAGCAAUUAUCCAGAUAGAUAAGUUAAAUAGAUUACAUAGAGAUAGGUAGGUAGAUCAAUCAAUCGAUAAGGAGGACUGCUGGGAAUUGCAGUCCAAGAAUAGGUAGAAAAGGAAGAAAGGAGAGAAAGAAAAAAGAGAAAGAUAAAGGGAGGGGAAGGAAGGGAAGAGGUAGAGAA